CUCAGGCGGUAAUGGCUGGCCUGUUGCUCACCUCCUGCUGUGCGGCCAGGCUCGCCACAGACCUAUAGGAUCUGCCGCCCGGGGCUGGGGACGCCUGCUCUAGAGCACUAGGAUUCUCACCAUCCAGAAGUCAUACCAGUGGUGAGAACUUGUCUGGAAUUUGUUGAACAGUCUCUACUUACCAAGAAGCCAGAGAAAAGUUUGGCUGACCUCCAAGCAAGCUGCACAAGCUCAUGCUCAUUAAAGGCUCAUAAAGAUGCUAUUAGGGAUUACAAAGGAUCUGGCCAUGGUCCCCAUGGUUCUAGCUGCCACUGGUUUCCCAUAGAGCCCUAGGCUGGAUACAAUCUGUAGUGUCCCUGGAAAAGCACAGGUGGAUUCUGUAUACUUUGUGGUCUGAAUAUUCUUCACCUAAUGACAACAGAUGUGGUAGGUAGAAUAACACUCCCUCCUACCAAAAACAACAACAACAACAGCAACAAAAACCCAUAGAUGUCUACCUUCUAACCUACGGAACCUGGUAAUACAUUAAUUACAGGGUAAAAUGGUAUUAAGAUUGCAGUGGAAAUGAAAGUUGCUAGUCAUUUUACCUUAACAUAGCAAAGUAAUCCCAGAUUAUCUCAGUGGACCCAAUGUAAUUACUAGGAUCCUUAAAAGUGGAAGACAGAAUUGAAAGAGAGAACUAUGCAGUAUCAUUAAAACUUCUUGGUCUGAUGUUACUGACUUUGAAGAUGGAGGAAGGGGGCCAUGAGUGAGCUAAGGAAAGAAGGUGGCCCUAAACAAGCUGGAAAAGGCAAGAAAACAGUUCUUGUCCAAUGGAGUAAAUCCCAUGACAUAAAUCGAUGUGUGAAGUUUCCUUGACAAUCAGCAGAUUGGCAUAAACUUGUUACUUCAUUCUUCUUAGCAAGCACGAGAAUAGUGUUACAAACAGUGUUGGAAAUUUCCUAAUCCGUAUGCUUCAUUUUGAGGCUAUUAUUCACCGCUGAUGUUGUUUCCAGUCCUUGACUGCUCUCUGAAGCUUCACAUUUGAAAAAUUAUUAUAGCUACAGUAGCACAUGGUCAAUCUCAUGUUUGUUUGAUUAAAAUAUUGUAGAGACCAACAUGCAGGAGCUAGCAAAGUAGUAAUCAUCUAUUCUGAGGUCAAGCAGGAUAACUACUCUUCCUAAGAAUAUUUCGUCCCUUGAAAGAAGUUCUGGCAAGGUAGGUGGUUGGCAACAAAUAGUGACCCUUACAUGGUGAUCCUGAAAUCUGUCUCUAAUUUCUGCUC
rnacentral:lncRNA from 1 species